GACGAACGCUGGCGGCGUGCUUAACACAUGCAAGUCGAGCGGUAAGGCCCUUUCGGGGGUACACGAGCGGCGAACGGGUGAGUAACACGUGGGUGACCUGCCCUCAGCUCUGGGAUAAGCCUGGGAAACUGGGUCUAAUACUGGAUAUGACUCCACGGUGCAUGUCGUGGGGUGGAAAGCCUUGUGCGGCUGAGGAUGGGCCCGCGGCCUAUCAGCUUGUUGGUGGGGNGAUGGCCUACCAAGGCGACGACGGGUAGCCGGCCUGAGAGGGCGACCGGCCACACUGGGACUGAGACACGGCCCAGACUCCUACGGGAGGCAGCAGUGGGGAAUCUUGCGCAAUGGGCGAAAGCCUGACGCAGCGACGCCGCGUGAGGGAUGACGGCCUGGU
rnacentral:rRNA from 1 species